rnacentral:rRNA from 1 species
UGGGGAAUAUUGCGCAAUGGGCGGAAGCCUGACGCAGCGACGCCGCGUGGGGGAUGACGGCCUUCGGGUUGUAAACCUCUUUCAGCAGGGACGAAGCCGUGAGGUGACGGUACCUGCAGAAGAAGCACCGGCCAACUACGUGCCAGCAGCCGCGGUAAGACGUAGGGCGCGAGCGUUGUCCGGAUUUAUUGGGCGUAAAGAGCUCGUAGGCGGCUUGUUGCGUCGACCGUGAAAACCCGGGGCUCAACUUCGGGCUUGCGGUCGAUACGGGCGGGCUAGAGUUCGGUAGGGGAGACUGGAAUUCCUGGUGUAGCGGUGAAAUGCGCAGAUAUCAGGAGGAACACCGGUGGCGAAGGCGGGUCUCUGGGCCGAUACUGACGCUGAGGAGCGAAAGCGUGGGGAGCGAACAGGAUUAGAUACC